CGGGGCGGGCAGUCGCCUCCGGGCGUGGGCGGCUCCGCUGGCAGCCGCGGUGGGCCAGGGGGCCCUGGCGGGAGCAGCCCGCCGGCUGAGAAGCCCCCUCGGGCACGGGAGCGGCGGCGGGGCUGGGUGCGGAGGGACGUGCCGCCUGAGCUCCCAGUGCGGUCCCCCCGGGCCGGGGCAGGGCAAGCGAGAGUCCGCGGAAACAGCUUGCUUCCCUACGCUGCCUCAGGUGCGCGGAGAGAGCUUCUGCCGAGGCUGCCGCCGCGCCCGGAGCGUUGCUGUGUUCGGUGUCUGACGCGGCCGUGGGGGAAAGGGGCACCGCGGCCCGCCCUCGGGGCCCCGGCCCCGGCCCCGGCCCCGGCCCCGGCCCCGGCCCCGCCUGCCGUGCGGCUGGAGCGGGAGAUGCGCCGGCUUCUUGGCUCUGCUCGGCCCCGGGCCUGAUCCGAAGAAAUUUAAUCGCACACUGUUGGAUCCUCUCUUAUGAAGACAGGCCGAGGAAGUUGGGGCUGUUCACCCUGAAGAAGACUCCCAGGGAUGUUAUAGUGACCUUCCAGUACUGGAAAAUGGCCUACUAAGAAGGCUGGGGAAGAACCGUCCACAAAGGCAUGUAACAAUAGGACAAGAGGAAGAAGAUUUAAGAUGCCUUAAUGAGCUGCCAACUUUGCAAUUGUCUGUAUACAGAAUGAACAGCAGCAAAUUAAACAUGCCACCUCCUCUAUGCUUCAAAAAAUUGGGUUACUGCAUGCAAGCUGCCUCCUGCAAAUGGUUCCUGGAGAAUUUUGACUUCCAAACUCUGCCUGAGAAUAAUUUGAGAGAGUGCUUGGAGUUGAGCCUUGACAAAGCAUGUUUCUGGACCUAUUUGGUGCUCCUGCGCACCACCCAGCUUGUUGGAGAAUCACCACCUCUGCAUGGAAGUAAAAAAAAUGUUUAUGAAGAAAAAAGAACUAAAUGCUAUUUUAAAGCAAGUUUAGGGAGGUGCUAUUUCCUUUAACUCAAAUAUGUAUUUCUAUUUGAAUGAAUAACACUGAUUGUUUACAAUAAAUGGUAUUCCUGAUCAUAUUCAGCUUUGAAAUAUUUAUAAUGAAUUUUAAAAUGAAUUAAUAAAGCACUUUAAAAAUGUGGGAUUAAAGUUAGCCUUAAUGUGAGGACCUAAAAGGGUCACUAUUCAAAUGUUUCUCAAAUCUAUCUAAGAAUAAUAUCCUUCUCAGAGGUGGAUUUGAAAUGGAAAUUGGUAUAAUGCAUUACACAAAUGUUAAGAAACUGAGAGAUUUUCAGAUAGAGUAUUAGCCUAUUUCAUUAAAAAAAAAAAGAAAAAACGAAAGAACCUUCUAAAAUAUUCAGUUAUGCUUUACUAAAUCACUAAAGACUUAAUAUUCCCCAAAGAAAAAAUCAACACUUAGUUUUCUUUCAGCAGUUCUAUUACAUGCACUUCCUGAAGAGCUGAGGAUUGGAAGGAGGAGGGUGAGACAGGCAGGAUGUCUAACUUUAUUUAAAUCAAAGUUUAAAGUCAAGUAUUUGAGAGGUUAAUAACUAUCAAAAUUAGAAAUUCUUUUCCAUCAAAAGUCUUGCUGUUCUAAGCUUUUAUGUGAAAAUACACAUAUGACCAAAUAAAUUAUUACCACACUU